AUUGAACGCUGGCGGCAGGCUUAACACAUGCAAGUCGAGCGGAGAUGAGGUGCUUGCACCUUAUCUUAGCGGCGGACGGGUGAGUAAUGCUUAGGAAUCUGCCUAUUAGUGGGGGACAACAUUCCGAAAGGAAUGCUAAUACCGCAUACGCCCUACGGGGGAAAGCAGGGGAUCUUCGGACCUUGCGCUAAUAGAUGAGCCUAAGUCGGAUUAGCUAGUUGGUGGGGUAAAGGCCUACCAAGGCGACGAUCUGUAGCGGGUCUGAGAGGAGGAGCCGCCACACUGGGACUGAGACACGGCCCAGACUCCUACGGGAGGCAGCAGUGGGGAAUAUUGGACAAUGGGCGGAAGCCUGAUCCAGCCAUGCCGCGUGUGUGAAGAAGGCCUUUUGGUUGUAAAGCACUUUAAGCGAGGAGGAGGCUACCUGGAUUAAUACUCUAGGAUAGUGGACGUUACUCGCAGAAUAAGCACCGGCUAACUCUGUGCCAGCAGCCGCGGUAAAAC
rnacentral:rRNA from 1 species